ensembl:lncRNA
UAAAAGUAGGACAAAGUCGGAAGCUUUAAGUUAUAGUCAUGCCAGGUUGUGGAGUUCUUCCUUGGACUGUCAACUCUUCUUUGUGUGGAAUUAUGUUUUACAAGUUUUUGGAACAACAGAAGAACCCAAUACAGACCUUUAUUAGCCUUUUUUGCUAGGUAUGGGCCAUAGACAGUCUAUGGUAUGAACGCUAGCUAAUGAAGUAGCAUAUUAAGCUAUACGCAUAGCCUGUAUGGAAUGAAUGGGCAGUUGACCACCGCUUACCGAACAAAGCUUACCGAGUGGAGUGAAAACCAGAUAUCGCUCUGAACUGCCAGGUUCCUUUCGCCACUUUGAAGGUGUAGGACAGGACAGGGAGUUUCUGGUGCCACGAGGUUUCCAUGAAAGCCCGGACGUCACCUCCAUGGUCACAAGCUGACAGAUGACUGUAACAUGAUCGACUGGUGUGCGCUGAUACAAGCUAUUUUUAGGCGAAGGUCACAUCUGGAGCAGGCCAGCUCAAAGCUUUUCUCUCCAUUUUUCUUUGAUUCCUUCAAAGUCCCAAAACUGGACGAACACUCCUUGUUUCUAGAUAAAAAUUGAGCUGCACAGUGCUUGGUGGUUAGCACUGUCUCUGCACAGCUCGAAAAUACCUCGGUUCGCGACCUGGGCCUGGGAUCUUUCUGUGUGUAGUUUGAACGUUCUCCCUCGACAG